rnacentral:rRNA from 1 species
UACGUAGGGUGCAAGCGUUGCCCGGAUUUAUUGGGCGUAAAGGGCGCGUAGGCGGCUCUGCACGUCCGUUGUGAAAUCGCCCGGCUCAACUGGGCGGGGUCAGCGGAUACGGCAGAGCUUGAGCAAGCUAGGGGGCAAUGGAAUUCCCGGUGUAGUGGUGGAAUGCGUAGAUAUCAGGAGGAACACCGGUGGCGAAGGCGGAUCUCUGGGCCAUUACUGACGCUGAGGAGCGAAAGCGUGGGGAGCGAACAGG